rnacentral:rRNA from 1 species
UACGUAGGGUGCAAGCGUUAAUCGGAAUUACUGGGCGUAAAGCGUGCGCAGGCGGCUUUGCAAGACAGAUGUGAAAUCCCCGGGCUUAACCUGGGAACUGCGCUUGUAACUGGCAAGCUAGAGUGUGGCAGAGGGGGGUGGAAUUCCACGUGUAGCAGUGAAAUGCGUAGAGAUGUGGAGGAACACCGAUGGCGAAGGCAGCCCCUGGGCUAACACUGACGCUGAGGAGCGAAAGCGUGGGGAGCGAACAGG